GACGAACGCUGGCGGCGUGCUUAACACAUGCAAGUCGAACGGAAAGGCCCUGCUUGCAGGGUACUCGAGUGGCGAACGGGUGAGUAACACUUGGGUGAUCUGCCCUGCACUUCGGGAUAAGCCUGGGAAACUGGGUCUAAUACCGGAUAGGAGCCAUUUUUAGUGUGAUGGUUGGAAAGUUUUUUCGGUGUAGGAUGAGCUCGCGGCCUAUCAGCUUGUUGGUGGGGUAAUGGCCUACCAAGGCGGCGACGGGUAGUCGGCCUGAGAGGGUGGACGGCCACAUUGGGACUGAGAUACGGCCCAGACUCCUACGGGAGGCAGCAGUGGGGAAUAUUGCACAAUGGGCGCAAGCCUGAUGCAGCGACGCCGCGUGGGGGAUGACGGCCUUCGGGUUGUAAACUCCUUUCGCUAGGGACGAAGCUUUUGUGACGGUACCUAGAGAAGAAGCACCGGCUAACUACGUG
rnacentral:rRNA from 1 species